GACGAACGCUGGCGGCGUGCUUAACACAUGCAAGUCGAACGGAAAGGCCCUGCCUUUGUGGGGUUUCCGUGUGGCGAACGGGUGUGUCACACAUGUGUAUCCCCCCCUUGACUUUGGGAUAACUUCAGGACACUUGGGAUAAUACCAGAUAGGCGCUCCUGCUCCAUGGUGGGGUUUGGAAAGUUUCGGCGGUUGGGGCUGUAUCCGAGGUUUCUCCGCUUGUUGGGGGGGUAGUGGCUUACCAAGGCUUUGAGGGGUAGCCGUCCUGAGAGGGUGACAGGCCACAGUGGGAUUGAGAUACGGGCCAGACUCCAACGGGAGGCAGCAGUGAGGGAUAGUGCACAAUGGGCGGAAGCCGGAUACAGCGACGUCGCGUGCGGAAUGACGGCCUUCGGGGAGGAAAAAGCGUUCGCCGGUGACGAAGCGGGAGUGACGGUAAUUGGUAAAGAAGCCCCGGCUAACUACGUG
rnacentral:rRNA from 1 species